GACUGUUUUGGGUCCCCCAUUCCUCUCCCAGCUUGCCGGUCUUUGUGCCCCCGAGCGUCGACAUCAGGGCCCUCGUCUUCUGGCUGCCACCUAACCGAGGCCGCGGCGUUCCUCCGGGCAGCUUGGGGUCCGGGAGGUCCUGGCGGAGCCUGGGUCCCCGCGGGCCUCGCGCGGGCGGCAGGGGGCGCUGCGCGCCGGGCGGGGCGGGGGCCGAGCCCGUGCGCCCCGCGUCUUUGUGCCGCGCGGCGCCGCCGCCCAGUCUCCCCCCGCGGGCCGCGCGCCCCGGCUGGAGGGCGGGCGGGAAUAAAGGGCGGCUCCGCGCGGGGCGGCGCGGACAGCCAGCCUCGGACCGCGGACCUCGGUGCUCGGAGCCCCGCCCGCGGCCGAGCAGGAGCGGCGGCCCCCACCCCUCGGGCCCCGGACGCGCGGGAUCAGAUCCUUGCCCAAGUACAGGGCUUGGCCUGUGGACUCCAUGUGGUUUGGGACUCGGAAGGGACCUCCCACACUUCAGUGGACGCUGCUGGCAUUCAGCGGGAUGAACGUGCCAUUCGGCCAGACGCCGGGAGCCACGUCGCCUGUGUUUUCCACUGUGGUUCAUGGUUUGGCCCCACUGCCUUCUUUUGUGCAAAUUUCACCUCCCUCUUAGGAGCCUCUCUCUUUCUGGUGUGGAAACAGGGAAAGUCUGUCCACACAGAGAGUGAGCAUCACAGGUCACUGGUCAUCACAAAUCCCCAGCCCAGCCGCCCAUUGUGACUGAGGACACUGUGGACUGGAGGGGGAGGUCAGGGGCGUGGCCACAAAGAGAGCCGUGGCCAGCUUGGGCCCAGCACCAGCCCUCCUGAUGGUCUGCUGUUCUUUCUCUGGCUCCAUGCUUAAACUGGAGGAUGGAGACGUGUCUGCUGCCCUUGGGGUCUGCUGGUCUGGAGCCACUCCAGGUGAUUCUUCCAGGGGAUCUGGUCAAGCGAGGACCUGCCCUGGGUCCCUGGGGUGUGGACAGUCAGGGGCAGCCAGGAGGCUGUGAGUAGAAUGGAAUACUUCAACGGAAGAUGGACCCUGUCGACACUCACUUGGACCUUUGAGGUCCAAGGAUUGAGUUGAAGGUUCUUUUCUUUGAGAUGAAAAGUCAUCCGAGGUCAUCAUUUCUGGAAGCAGUCUCCUCUCUCCUUUGUUUCUGCAUCACUGACACUCAUGGACACCUUUUCUUAAUUAGAUGAAGAAAUUAAAUGGAAGCAACUGUUCAUAUACCUGCUGGGGAGUUCGGCUGAAGGACAGAGCCUGUACAACUUUCGAACCCAGCUCUGUGACCUUGAGCAAGUGUCUUAACUACCUCGUGUGGCCCCAGUUGACCCCCACUGUGGAACUAAGAUGUUGGUCUAAAUGAUCGUCCAGAUCUGGAUAUAAGAAUGUGCUGCUUUAAAGGUCUCUUCCAGGAGCAUCAGUCUUUACAAUGCAACCAUCUUUAAGAAAUUUUGCAAGAUAAAAAAUUAUAUAUAUGUAAAUAUUUAUAUAUAUGUAUCAGUUUCAGACAAAUGGUUUUCUUCAGAGAUGAUAAGUUGAGAGAUGGGGCUUUGAAGAGGGUCAUUCCUUGAUGAUGAGAGUCUGUAUCUUCUUUCUUUCCUGGAGUUUAAAGCCUGGAUCUGAUGGUGUUUCCUGAUUAGCCUGUAGGUACAGAGAGAGCAGGACUUUCUCUAAGGAGCAAACUGAUGAGCUGGAUAGAGUGUUACGAGAAAAAUAAGUUCCUGGCUGGCGUGAU
rnacentral:lncRNA from 1 species